GCCCCGAUAGUUCAACGGAUAGAAUAAGGCACUCCUAACGCCUAGAUCCAAGUUCGAUUCUUGGCCGGGGCA
rnacentral:tRNA from 1 species